CGCAGCCGCCGCCAUUUCGGCUUUGUUUCUCGCGUAGAGGUUUUUAUUAGCAACGCUAAUUUUCAAUUGUUAUUGUAGCCGCGUAAUAUUUACAUACUUUUUUAAUUGUACUGAAAAUGUCGAGGCACCGCAAUUCAGGACCUUUGGAUUGCAAGGUGUAUGUUGGCGAACUUGGAAACAGUGGAACAAGACAUGAAUUAGAAGAUGCGUUCAGUUAUUAUGGACCUCUGAGGAAUGUGUGGGUAGCCAGAAAUCCUCCUGGAUUUGCAUUUGUUGAAUUUGAAGAUGCCCGUGAUGCUAAGGAUGCUGUCAGAUGUUUAGAUGGAAAAAUCCUUUGUGGAAGACGUGUACGAGUUGAAUUAUCAAGUGGAAAAUCAAGAUCAUCUUACAGGCCUCCACCUAGAUACAACCCAGAUGAGCGUUGUUAUGAAUGUGGAGAACGAGGGCACUAUGCAAGAGAUUGCAAAGGAUCUUCUAGGCGUAGAUCAAGGCUAAAGCAGCCUACAACAGUAAAACUCAUCUUUGUCGCUCAAGCUGCAUAGUGAUCAGCAUUCAUCAUUGAGUUACCAGCUCACCCUAUGUUAUACUUCAGCCUAUUAAACAUCCUAAUGAAACUUCGACUCGCCUCAACUCGGGACGACUGCAUACUACAUGUCAAUCUUCUACAAAUCAGCUCUUAGGGCGUCUCAUCUAAUGUUAACCGAUCAACUCAUCGCAUCCUCUUCAAAAUAUUCAUCAUUGUCCAAUGUGUUCACUACUUACUUGUUAUCAACUUAAGUUGUUCAUUAUAAUUAGAGGUUUGUCUUUUCCUUUCUUUAUCUGUGUUUUAAGCCCAACUAUAAAACAGAUCACAAAGAAUGACAAAGCGAUGUAAAAAAUUCAUUAAAAUAUAGGAUAUUUGAAAGGCUAAAAUGAAAUAUUAAUUUCUUCUUUUGUGGAAUAAAAAUAUUCCACUAAUGUAUUAUUCUUGGUUAAAAUUGUUUGAUUAAAACCUUUAAAAUUAAGAGAAAGGGAUAAUGAUUUGAAUUUUACCAGUCUUAAAUAUUUAAUUUUCAGUUCAUUUGUUUUUUUAUCCAUGGUAGAUAUAUAAUUCUGAGGUGGUGUGCAUAUUUACAUAACUGAGCUGGUUAAUUUCUCUGUACUAGUCUUUGCAAGAAAAGUUCAUGUUGGAAGUUUUUUAAGGUUAUCAGUAUCGGCAGUGAAAAUAGACAAGAAAUCAGUUGCCAUUUAGAAUUUCAGGUAAGUGGAGUAAAUGAGUUUCAUUAUUUAACUGUCUUUUUUUUUUUUAAAGAUCAAGAUCCCGAUCUCCGAGACGAGGAAGAAGCAGAAGUCGCUCUCGCAGUCGUUCCGCUAGUAGAUCCCCAGUAAGAGGACGUGGUGGAUCUAGAAGCAGAUCUGGAUCUAGAAGCCGAAAUGGACGAGCUUCAUCUGGAGAUUAAA